GGAUUUUUCAUAAGGAUUGGCUGCCAAGAACUACAUAACCAAACUCAAUUUUUCAUAAAAAAUUCACAUUCGGUUUGGGACAUAUAGCCAAUCUCAAAGGGUUUUGAAGGUUCAUUCACACUCCCACGAAGCUCCUGAAGCGAUCCAGACCAAUACCAAGUCAUAAAGCAUCCAGAAUCAGUACCAUUGUGGUCACGGGUUGUGCCAUUGUUAGGGUUCGGUGCUUCCAAAUUGGGGCCUCACGAAUCAGCCAAAAUUAGACCAAGUCGAAGGCAUAAUUGAGUUCAGGAGACAAUUUCAGGUCGAUCCAUGUCCUUAUGUUUCAUUUAUGUUUUAAUUUGGUGGAUUUAACAUGAGCAGGUAUAUGGCUACGUUUGGAAACCAUGGCAGAUCUGCAGGCAAUUCGUAGCAAAAGAAAUCAGUAUGAAGGAGGAAGAAGAACAAUAACCAGCGUGCUUUUCCCUUAUUCAAAUAGUUGAUUUUUUUGUAUAUGUUUUGUUUGAUUCGUAUUAACAAAAAGCGCUUGCAGUAUAGUUGGCGCAGAGGGCUGAUUGGUGAAUGGAGAAACGCGGGUUCGAUCCCUGCUAGAUGCACUAUUUUUGUUUGAUUUUCUUUGAGGAUUGUUGUCCAUAGAUUCUGUGCAGCCAGUCCGUACGCGCUUAUGUUGCGCCUCUUCCUUCCAGCCACCAGAUCUCCAUCACUCCAAGAUCCAACGAAUACAAGGUUGCAGGCAUAUCGUGGUCCUCCAGGGGUGUAUCACACCAGAUUACAAGCUGAGAUUUCUAUUUUCUUUUAUCAUUAUUUUAUUUUUCUUUUUUUUAAAAAUGACCUUUUUUUCAUAUAUUUUGUAUAAAUGUUUUAUAUAUCUAUAAAUCUCUAAAAAAACUCUUCAAAAAACAAAUUUUUCUUUAAACUUUCUUUUUUUAUUUAUUUAAGAAAAAUAAUUAAUUAUUAUUAAUAAUUUGUUUUUUUGUUUUGUUUAAAUUAAUUUAAUUUGCCUAAAUUAGUUGUUUAAUUUUAAUUAAUUCUUAUUAAUUGAUAAAAAAAUAUAUAUUAGGGUUAGAUAAUCGAAAUUUUAUUUUCGCCGAUUUAAUUAAUUAGGUUAAAAACCAAUAAUUAAUUAAUCUGGUUUUAUUAAUCAUAGUUAACUUGUGCCCUAAUCAGGGUUUACGAGGUUCAUCAUUCGAUCAGUCAUACACUAAAAAAACUUCUUUUUUUCUUUGUGCAGUUUUUUCAGGGUUACCAUCAGGGUUCGUCCGCCUACGCGCCAUAUCAGAUCAAAAGCUAAGUCCCGAUUUAAUCCUUAUUUAAGUAUUUGUUAUUUUUUUCCUCUUUUAUUUAAAAUUAGGGUUUGCCUUCAAAUAUAAUGAACUCCGCCUACACUCACCCCCUUUUCUGUCUAUUUUUCCUUUUCCGAUUUUCAGGGUUAACAAAUCAAUCAAAGCUCAAAUGUUUGGUAACCCUGAAACUCAAUUUACUUUGUUUUCCUUUUAUUAUUACUUAUGUCAGAAAUAUCUGCCUUGUGGGGUUUUAUUGCUUUUCUUCCCUCAUUUCCAUAAUAUUUUUGUAUCUGCUCCGAGGUUGUAUUGUGUGGCCUUGAAGGCACUUAAAUCUGUCAUAUUAUAAUAUUGUGUGGUUAGUAAUCCUAGGGAGUGAUAACCCUGAACUGAAUUAGAAUCACCUAAUUUUACAAGAUAACUUAUUCUGAAUUUAAUCACAUGAUUGUUGCACCCACGCACCUUUUAUGGUACUCCUCUUGUUGCCUGUUGCCUGUUGCCUUGUGUUUUAAUGCAGAAUAGCCAAGUCCCUCGAAUACGAGGAUACCUUAGCAAUGUUGCCCUCGGUUCAUUCUAGGAUCAUAAGUCCCUAAUGAUGCUGCCUUCGAUUCGCUAAUAUGAUCUCGUCCCUCGAUGUUGCCUACGAAAGGCUGAGGUAUCCUCUGGUUGCCUAAACGAAAGGCUAUUUUGAUCCUUCCCUUAGACUACCUGCCCCUCUAUGGCAUGGGACAGUCUUGUGGCGAACGAUAAUUCGACGAUCCUUCAACCUCCGAAUCGAAGGACUUCCUUACCCUCUUAUGGUAUGGAUAGCCCUGGAAGGCUAAAAGAACAUUUUUCAUCUAACCAGAUAAUUUGCCCCUAAUUGCUUUGCUCUGGUUUAAAAAUCUUUUUCUUACACUUUUUCAUAAACCUUCAAUAAGGCUACGCUUAUUUUACGAGCUAAAGUUCUUAUUCCUCUUCUUCUACAUUUCUGAAACUUUUGGCUUCAAAACUAAAGAGCAAAGCAAUUAAGAGCCCAUGGAAAACCAUGGAUGCAAAGGGUGCCUUACACCUUCCCUUUGCAUAAAUUACCCCCCGAACUCAGUUUUUACUUAAAAGGUUUUUUUCUGUUCUUUUAGCCUUUCUGUUAAUUUGGAUAAAAUAAAAGUCGGUGGCGACUCUUGCUAUCUGUAUAUUUCAAAUAAAGUCAGUUCACCGUAUUACAGAUGGCCUCAAUCCCAAAGUGUGGAUUGAGUGCAACUUGUGAGGUGCUCCAGUUCCAAGCGGGAAUCGAUCCUAUUGGUGCAGAUCUUUGGAGAAUAACGAUGACUAAGUCAAGUGAUGUUUUGGUACCACAUGCAUGAGUCUUAUGAAGUUGCAUUUCAUUAUCUGUGGCAUUGCACAAUACUUGGAAGAUGGUGUUUGGUAUAUUUUAAGUGAGGUAUUUUAUUGGCUUAAAUGCACCCUUGGUCCCUGUAAGUUAGCGAGUUUUUGAUUUUUGUCCCUGUAAGUUUUUUUUUUGGGUCUGAGUCCCUAUAUUUCACUUUCGCGUUUGUUUUAGUUCCUAAAAUCAAAAUCCGCAGGAAAAUUUGCAGGAAAGCCUGCAGAUUUUCCUGCAGAUUUUGGCUUUAGGGACUAAACUACAAGCAAAAAGUAAGAUAUAGGGACUCAUACCAACAAAAAAAACUUACAGGGACGAAAAUCAAAAACUCGCUAACUUACAGGGACCAAAAGUAAAUUUAAGCCUAUUUUAUUUAUUCUUGGAUUGAUGAUGCUAUGAAGUGAAGAACCGAUAAUUGUUGUUAUAUGAUGUAAUAUAUUAAAUGAUGUUAUAUGAUUGUUGUUUUAUUGAUAUGACUGCUAUAUAUAUUCCUUAUGUCUUUUAUAAUGAUUAUAAUGUAUUAAAUAUUUGAAUAAAUUGAUGUGUUUGUUGGAUGUUUUGAUUUGUGAUGUUUGGUAAGAAGAAUUGUCAAAUUGAUGUUGUAUUAAAUACUUGAAUAAAUUGAUGUGUUGUAUUAAAUGAUGUUAUAUGAUUAUUGUUUUAUUGAUAUGACUGCUAUAUAUAUUCCUUAUGUCUUUUAUAAUGAUUAUGAUGUAUUAAAUACUUGAAUAAAUUGAUGUGUUUGUUGGAUGUUUCGAUUUGUGAUGUUUGGUAAGAAGAAUUGUCAAAUUGAUGUUGUAUUAUAGAUGUCGUAAUUGAUGUCAUGUUGUUGUUAUUCCUAUGCCAUGAAUAAUAUAUCUAUUACUUAUGCUUUUUAUGAUGAUUGCGAUUUACUCACCCUGCCUUUUUGAAUGUUACCUCCACGUGGGUAACGCGUAAGUGAUCAAGUUUAGUGCAGGAAGCAUAAGAGGUACCUUCGGAGUGCGUUAUUCAGUUUCUUUGAGUCUAGUGGGUCUUGCUCUGAUAUGUAACAUCGGGAUUGGGAUGGAUUGAUUGUGGACCUUGAGCAUUUUUUUAUUCUGAAUGUUUUAUAUUACUUUUAUAAUCAUGAAGUUAUAAACACGGAGUAUGAUGAUUUUAUCGA